rnacentral:rRNA from 1 species
GACGAACGCUGGCGGCGUGCCUAAUACAUGCAAGUCGAGCGCAGGAAAUCGACGGAACCCUUCGGGGGGAAGUCGACGGAAUGAGCGGCGGACGGGUGAGUAACACGUAAAGAACCUGCCCUCAGGUCUGGGAUAACCACGAGAAAUCGGGGCUAAUACCGGAUGGGUCAUCGGACCGCAUGGUCCGAGGAUGAAAGGCGCUCCGGCGUCGCCUGGGGAUGGCUUUGCGGUGCAUUAGCUGGUUGGUGGGGUAAUGGCCCACCAAGGCGACGCUGCAUAGCCGACCUGAGAGGGUGAUCGGCCACACUGGGACUGAGACACGGCCCAGACUCCUACGGGAGGCAGCAGUAGGGAAUCUUCCACAAUGGACGAAAGUCUGAUGGAGCAACGCCGCGUGAACGAUGAAGGCCUUCGGGUCGUAAAGUUCUGUUGUAAGGGAAGAACAAGUGCCGCAGGCAAUGGCGGCACCUUGACGGUACCUUGCGAGAAAGCCACGGCUAACUACGUGCCAGCCGCCGCCGUAACAC